rnacentral:rRNA from 1 species
AGAGUUUGAUCCUGGCUCAGGAUGAACGCUAGCUACAGGCUUAACACAUGCAAGUCGAGGGGCAGCAUGGGGGUUGCUCGCAACCCCUGAUGGCGACCGGCGCACGGGUGAGUAACGCGUAUCCGACCUUCCCGCGGCAGGGGCAUAACCCGGUGAAAGCCGGACUAAUUCCCCGUGGUCCCCACACAGGCCAUCCUUCGUGGGGUAUAGGACUCGUCCGGCCGCGGACGGGGAUGCGUCCGAUUAGCUAGUUGGCGGGGUAACGGCCCACCAAGGCACCGAUCGGUAGGGGUUCUGAGAGGAAGGCCCCCCACAUUGGGACUGAGACACGGCCCAAACUCCUACGGGAGGCAGCAGUGAGGAAUAUUGGUCAAUGGGCGCGAGCCUGAACCAGCCAAGUAGCGUGGAGGACGACGGCCCUACGGGUUGUAAACUCCUUUUGCGCGGGGAUAAAGUGCGCGACGUGCUCGCGCAUUGCAGGUACCGCGCGAACAAGGACCGGCCAAUUCCGUGCCAGCAGCCGCGGUAAUACGGAAGGUCCGGGUGUUAUCCGGAUUUAUUGGGUUUAAAGGGAGCGCAGACUGCCUGUCAAGCGUGCAGUGAAACGCCGCGGCCCAACCGCGGCCCUGCUGCGCGAACUGGCGGGCUUGAGUGGGCUGGAGGCACGCGGAAUUCGUGGUGUAGCGGUGAAAUGCUCAGAUAUCACGAGGAACCCCGAUUGCGAAGGCAGCGUGCCGCGUCCCUACUGACGUUGAGGCUCGAAGGUGCGGGUAUCGAACAGGAUUAGAUACCCUGGUAGUCCGCACGGUAAACGAUGGAUGCCCGCUCCCGGCGACACACUGCCGGGGGCCAAGCGAAAGCGUUAAGCAUCCCACCUGGGGAGUACGCCGGCAACGGUGAAACUCAAAGGAAUUGACGGGGGCCCGCACAAGCGGAGGAACAUGUGGUUUAA